ACCAUCCUUUUCUUAGGGUUGCACUACUGUCCAAUGAGCGUUUAGCAAGUACAGUACUGCUAACACCUGAAAAACACACCUGCAUCAAAUAAAGCUCUGCUUUACUUUGGUGCAAUAAAUAAAUAA